AUUGAACGCUGGCGGCAGGCCUAACACAUGCAAGUCGAACGAGUGGCGCACGGGUGAGUAUUGUCUGGGACACUGCUUGAUGGUGGGGGAUAACUACUGGACGCAGUAGCUAAUACUACAUACCAUCAGAAGUGCCCAGAUGGGAUUCGCUAGUUGGUGGGGUAAGGGACCACCAAGGCGACGAUCCCUGGCUGGGCUGUGAGGAGGACAAGCCACCCUGGAACGGAGACAAGGUCCAGACCCCUACGGGAGGCAAGGGUGGGGAAAGUGACACAAGGGGAGCAGGCCUGAUGCAGCCAUGCCGCGUGGAUGAAGGAGGCCUGCGGGUUUUAAAGUACUUUCAGCGGGGAGGCGUUACCCGCAGAAGAAGCACCGGCUAACUCCGUGCCAGCAGCCGCGGUAAUAC
rnacentral:rRNA from 1 species